rnacentral:rRNA from 1 species
AUUGAACGCUGGCGGCAGGCCUAACACAUGCAAGUCGAGCGGAUGAAGGGAGCUUGCUCCUGGAUUCAGCGGCGGACGGGUGAGUAAUGCCUAGGAAUCUGCCUGGUAGUGGGGAUAACGUCCGGAAACGGGCGCUAAUACCGCAUACGUCCUGAGGGAGAAAGUGGGGGAUCUUCGGACCUCACGCUAUCAGAUGAGCCUAGGUCGGAUUAGCUAGUUGGUGGGGUAAAGGCCUACCAAGGCGACGAUCCGUAACUGGUCUGAGAGGAUGAUCAGUCACACUGGAACUGAGACACGGUCAAGACUCCUACGGGAGGCAGCAGUGGGGAAUAUUGGACAAAGGGCGAAAGCCUGAUCCAGCCAUGCCGCGUGUGUGAAGAAGGUCUUCGGAUUGUAAAGCACGUUAAGUUGGGAGGAAGGGCAGUAAGUUAAUACCUUGCUGUUUUGACGUUACCAACAGAAUAAGCACCGGCUAACUUCGUG